GACGAACGCUGGCGGCAUGCCUAACACAUGCAAGUCGAACGGAGAUAUUUAGAAGCUUGCUUUUGGAUACCUUAGUGGCGGACGGGCGAGUAACGCGUGAGCAACCUGCCCCGCAGUGGGGAAUAACGGCUGGAAACGGCCGCUAAUACCGCAUAACAUCGAGGGAUUGCAUGAUUCUUCGAUCAAAGGAGCAAUUCGCUGAGGGAUGGGCUCGCGUCCGAUUAGCUAGUUGGUGAGGUAACGGCUCACCAAGGCGACGAUCGGUAGCCGAACUGAGAGGUUGAUCGGCCGCAUUGGGACUGAGACACGGCCCAG
rnacentral:rRNA from 1 species